rnacentral:rRNA from 1 species
ACUCAAAGGAAUUGACGGGGGCCCGCACAAGCGGUGGAGCAUGUGGUUUAAUUCGACGCAACGCGAAGAACCUUACCUGGGCUUGACAUGCUGGGGAAACCCUCUGGAAAGAGAGGGCCUCCUUCGGGACCCCAGCACAGGUGCUGCAUGGCUGUCGUCAGCUCGUGUCGUGAGAUGUUGGGUUAAGUCCCGCAACGAGCGCAACCCCCGCCCCCAGUUGCCAGCGAGGGCCUCAAAACCCGUCGGGGACUCUGGGGGGACUGCCGGUGCCAAACCGGAGGAGGGUGGGGACGACGUCAAGUCAUCAUGGUCCUUACGUCCAGGGCCACACACGUGCUACAAUGGGCGGUACAGAGGGCCAGCGAGCUAGCGAUAGCGAGCGAAUCCCAGAAAGCCGCCCUCAGUGCGGAUCGGAGGCUGCAACUCGCCUCCGUGAAGCCGGAAUCGCUAGUAAUCGGGGAUCAGCCACGCCCCGGUGAAUACGUUCCCGGGCCUUGUACACACCGCCCGU